rnacentral:rRNA from 1 species
AAACAUGGCUCUUUGUGCGUAGAGAAAUGAAGAGUUGAGCCUGCCCUGUGAAAUAUUUUAACGGCCGCGGUACUUUGACCGUGCGAAGGUAGCAUAAUCAUUUGCCUUAUAAUUGAAGGCUUGUAUGAAUGGUUUGACAAGAAUAAUGCUGUCUCUUAAGAUUUUUAUAGAAUUUAGUUUUUAGGUGAAGACACCUAAAUUUUAUUGAAAGACAAGAAGACCCUAUCGAGCUUGACAUUAUUAUAAUAAAGUUUUUAUAUAAUAUUUUGGUUGGGGCGGCUGAGGAACAAAAAGCUUCCUUAAAUUUAAAAAUAUUAGUAAAUAUUGAUCCAGUAUAUUUGAUUAAUAGAAUUAGUUACCGUAGGGAUAACAGCAUAAUUUUUUUUUAGAGUUCUUAUUGAAAAAAAAGUUUGUGACCUCGAUGUUGGAUUAAGUUUCCUGAAAAUGCAGCAGUUUUCUUUUGGUUAGUCUGUUCGACUAAUAAUAACUUACAUGAUCUGA